rnacentral:lncRNA from 1 species
CACCCUCGUCUUCCCUUCGGCCCAGCCGGGGAGACCGACUAGCCGCGGGCCCUGCAGGGUUCCCCAGGAGCUCGCGGAAAGCUCGGAGGAACGGCGCAGCCCGUAGCGGUCGGCAGGCGGGCGAGCACGGCCUAGGGCUCCGCCACCGUGACGGCGCUUCUCCGAGCCCGCAAUGGUCUCGGUGCGAUGGACCCGAGUGGUCUUGUGUACCCGAGGCCCCUAGCUGCGCGGUGUGAUUAACUAAGACACCGCUUCCGGGGUGCAUCAGAACCUUCCAGAAAUAAAAGCAAGGCGGUCACCUGGAAUUUUAGUAAAAGCACAUACAUAAAUGGGACCGGUCAUGGAUUGUGGAGGACAGAGAAAGGAUGGUUCAGAAGGCUUCACGAAGGAAGUGGGUCUCAAGAAAGGAGGGACCCAUAGAGAUUACAGAAGAUCGGAUGGACCACAGGCUGGGUUUGGCAAGCAUGCUCUCAUCUGCUAAGUUUGGCUCUAAAGGAAACACCUGCAGCUGAGAUAAAACCGUCCUUCAUGACCAGAAGAGGCGUCCAGAUGUGCUUGCAGACAGCUGGGGUGUUUCUGUGUCUUCUGCCUUCUGAGGCCUCUCUUAAGAGCUCCCCAUACCAGGCCCCUCUGCCACUCUGCAUGUGCCCUUUUUCUUCUGUCCUCACGGUCCCUCCAAUCUAUUACUCCCUCAGUCCCAGCCAGGCAGCCGCCGACUGACGAGGCUCGGCGGUC